CUCCGCCAAGCCCUUUCCUUCCUCUUUCUUCUUCUUCUCCGGUGGCCGGCGUGGUACGCCGGCCGGGCACCACUAUCCGAAGCCUCUUCUCUUCUUAUUUUCUUUUGUGUGCUCUAUUUCACUAUUUUGAGACCCCUAUUUUCAUCGGAAGUUGCCGCCGCCGCCGCCGCCCGAGCUGCCUCGGUGCACCUGAUCUGCCUAACUGAAGUAGAAUUUUUGAAACGAGAAGAGGUAAGUAACAUAUUGCUUUAAUGUGUGCUUUCCAAAUUUUUAGUAAAAUAAUAGUUAGUUGAUUAAAUUUAAUUAUGAUAUCUAUUUUAUACUUAGUUAAACGAGUCAGGCAUAUUAAUGUUAUGAUAUUGAUCAUUUUAAAUUAUGAUAUGUGUUAUAAAAUUUAGAAAAUAUGACCGAACAAAUUAUGAAAUUAGUUUUUAUAUCUAUGUAUUCUCAGCACGGCUAUAUUUUGACCCAUCUAAUAAAAAUUAUUCGUUAGCCCUGUCGACUUGUAAUCUGAGAAACUGAUUUUGACACCGCACCACAGUGAUUAGAAUAGUAGUAUUUGGACACUAUAUCAUCGAUAGUUAAGAAUAGUCAUAUUUGACACUUUGUACGUUCUGACCCAUGCCACUGCUUACGUGGUCAUAGCUUAUUAUUAGAUUUUUAGUAUUAUUUGAAUAAGUUCUUGAUUAAAUAAAUUUUUAAAAAUUAUUAUUGCUUUGAUAUGAUCUAUAACCUUAUAUGCUUGUAUGGUCCAUUAUACAAGUAUGCAGCUAUUACGUUCUAGGUUCGGAGCAUGGCAACAAUAACUUUUUAUUUUGGUCAAUGCACUUCCCUUGCUUCUUUACAGUAUUACCCUUAUAAGGGUAUGAAAAUCAUAUCAGCACAAAAUAUCCAUGCAUCCCUAGUCUUAUAUAAUACAUGAUAUACAACCAAUACCAUAUUAAACUAGUAAGGACCUAUCUGGAUGCCAGAAGAUCUUAAAUCUUUCUAUGAAAAAUGCUUGGGUUGCCCAUAAAUUACACAUGAAAAGUUUAUUUGGGUUACCGAAACCCUAUUUGACAAGAAGAGUGAUCACAUAAACCACGGGCACUCUACUAGCAUAAUUGGAAACCAAAAACUAUACUGAGAUCUUAUCACAUGAAAAAAUAAUUCAGUUUAUCACAAUUGUUAUGAGAAACACCAAGCAACACCAAAGUGAUCAGCUAGAUAAAGAUCAUCAAGGGAGAAAACAGCACUGGAUAAUUCGUCUUUUAAGCUUGGUGAAGAACCUAUUAACUAAUUAUUCUGAGUUGCAAUUUAGGAACUAAACCGAAGUGCAAUAACAACCAGCCUCAAGCUUCCGGUGGCCUCACUGAAAUUAGAUCUUUCUAUUCAAAAGAAAGACCUUAUGGACUGCAGUCCAUUGUUUAAAUUUCCUUGGGAAACACCAGAUAUACACACCACAAUCUCUGAAUCUCCUGCUGAAUUAUGCACCAUUUUUAUAGUUAGACAACAAAGUAUAUCACAAAUUACAACUGUUCAGAUCCUGGUAUGCAAUUGCUUAGCACUCUGAACCUCAGGUCACCAUUCAAUGUUAUUAAGAUAUCCAUCAUUGUAAGUGUAAUUAACUUAUCUCACAAGAUAAAUUUAAGAAUAUUUUUUCUUGACAUGCAACACAAAUACAAACAGUUCUUAUGAUCAAUUAGCAGUGUACGUAUUGGGAAUCAACUCACUUCUAUCCUCCCUGAUGGUACAACAGAUUCAUCUUAGCCAAUAACCCAAGCAUUCUCGUUCAAGACAAUCAGUUCCAAACCGUGGAUUAGCAUCCAUGGAUGUCUUGUGCACAAGGCCCAUAAGAAUAAUGGGUUGAAGAACAGAGAGGCAGGAGGGAUGUCACUGACACUCUUAAAUGCUGAGUUAAUUCAGACAAUAUACAGAACAUGAUU